rnacentral:rRNA from 1 species
GACGAACGCUGGCGGCGUGCUUAACACAUGCAAGUCGAACGAUGAAGAAAAGAAUCGAAGCUUCGGCAGAAAUUCAUUUCGGAUUAGUGGCAGACGGGUGAGUAACUCGUGAGCAACCUACCUCUUACAAAGGGAUAGCCUCGGGAAACCGGGAUUAAUACCAUCUAACAUUGCGACGAAGCAUUUCGAUGCAAUCAAAGCUACGGCGGUAAGAGAUGGGCUCGCGUCCCAUUAACCGGAUGGUGAGGUAACGGCUCACCAUAGUGACGAUGGGUAACCGGCCUGAGAGGGUGAACGGUCACACUGGAACUGAGACACGGUCCAGACUCCUACGGGAGGCAGCAGUGGGGAAUAUUGCACAAUGGAGGGAACUCUGAUGCAGCGACGCCGCGUGAGUGAUGAAGGAAUUCGUUUCGUAAAACUCUGUUCUAUGGGAAGAAAAGGACUGUACCAUAGGAGAAAGCUCCGGCUAAAUACGUG